rnacentral:tRNA from 1 species
GUUGUGGCUCAGUGGUAGAGCGUUUGCCUCCCACAUGUGAGGCCCUGGGUUCCAUCCUCAGCACAACG